rnacentral:lncRNA from 1 species
AGCCUUAUCUCCUCACCUUUCUGCUGAAGACUUUCCCAGGGCUCCCCAACACCCACUGGAUUCAGAACCUGGAAGGAAGCGCCCCGCCUCCAUCCCAGGCUCCUAGGGCAGAGAAGCUCAGCCGGUCCCAGCACCCAGAAGGAAGCUCCCCCACUGCCAUCCCAAGCUCCUAGGCCAGAGAAGGUGAGCCGAGUGGGUGCCAGAAGCACACCCCCGUCCCGCCCCCCGUGGAAAUGAGAAAACACAUAAACAAGCCUCAAAAACAG